rnacentral:sRNA from 1 species
GCCGGGCGUGGUGGUGCACACCUGUAAUUCCAGCAGCUCGGGAAGCUGAGGCAGGAGGACCAUGAGUUCAAAGCCAGCCUCAGCAACUGUGAGGCGCUAAGCACUUCAAUGAGACCCUGUCUCUA